rnacentral:lncRNA from 1 species
AUAUAUAUAUAGAGAGAGAGAGAGUAAAAAUUUUUUAAAAUCUACUUUUUAGUUUGUGUCUGCCCAGAUGAUCAGCUGUAAAUUAUCAGAUGUCCAUCAGAUACCAGAUAAAGUAUUGCCAUAUUAAAAUAUAUACUAAAUUUUCAGGCUGCUGCUAUCUUGAUCUCAAACUUCUGAUAUAACAGGUGUUUUAACCUACGUAACAAAAUGAAAACUGUUUUCCCCACUUCUUAUGCCAAAGGUUUUAAUUAAAACAACAACAGUAACAACAACAACAACAAAACACCUUCCUCUUCUAACAUGACCUUCCUAUGAUUUCAAAGUCCCUUCCCUAUCUAAAUUUAUAAAAUCUAUACUCUCAGCUAGUC